UGAGCCGUAUGUUCGUGGUCGUCCUUUGAGUGGCAAAAUAAAGUAUGCUCAAAGAGCACUGGACAUUACCAAUAAAGGCCAAAAUGGAAUUCAGAAAUACACAGAAAUGGUUUUUGGUCCAGAUCACCCAACCCUGCAGACCAUACAAGAGGACGUGAGGAACAUGCAGUUUCCCAAGUCACAAACAUGUUGCCACUUAUCGCCCUUCAAUGAGUUCUUCAGUGAGUUCCUCCAUCAUGUCAUAUCAAUCAUGAUUGGGAAGGUGGGUCUCAUCAAAGAUAACCGGAACUGAGAACUUAGUACCAUUUCCAUAAUUUGGACUAUUUUGAUUACGAUCUGUCCCACGCCUCAUUAACACCACUCACCACACCUGAUCCCAUGCAAAUGUCCCCCUUUUUUCUGUGUUGCCUGUCACAUUUAUGUUUCCAUCAAACUGUCUCAGAAAUAACUAUUCUUAUUCACAUAUCCUACCAUUCUGUGUUGCAGUCACAGUCAUUCUGUUCCUUAGACAUGAUUAUUUGCAUUCAGAUGUACUGUUUAUUUCUGUUACAUAUGCUGUUACUCGGUUUCAAAUAUUAUAUCUCACGCAUAUGUUAGGCCUUUGUUGCACAUACACUAUUAACUUCAUUUACAUAUACUAUUAUCCUCUGCUAUACAGACUAUCAUGUAAGCCUAUACUGUGUGUAUAAGUAGCUAUAGUUUUCUGUGCAACAGAGAAGAGUGCUGUAUGUAUAAGAGUGUGACAGUAUAUAAAAGGGAGUAUGAUUGUGCUUAUAAGAGGGUAUGGUAGUCUUUGUGUAAGAGUAUAGUGGUGUAUAUGUGCGAUUAUGAUGUUGUGUAUGAGACCAAGUAUGAAUUAUCUCUCAAGGGGCCUCUCACAUGAAUGCUUGACUCUUUGUUGUGAAAGUAUACUUAUUUAUUGCAAAUGGAAAUUAUGUGUCAAGUUGCACAGUGUUCCUGGGAAGUUUGCAAAAAGAUCUGCAGAAUACAUUUAAAUAGCAGAUGUAUCUGUUCCUAAGAACAUGGCUGCGGGCUCAAUUUUUGCUCUCUGCUGCCCUCUGUCUUGCAGUUCCAAUAUUUCUGCCCUUUGUAGUGCAGUUCCAGUUUUGUAAUGAUUUGUGGUCUGUCAAGGGGAACGUUUUCAAAUGUAGAUUUUCAUCAUGAUGAAAUUAUGUUUUUUCUGAAGUGGUAAUAUGGCCCAUCAAAUAUGAAAUUGAGUAAAUACGGUAAUAACUGAUAUCCUGAUCACAAGGAUA